UCUGCACUCCUACGGGAGGCAGCAGUGGGGAAUAUUGCACAAUGGGCGCAAGCCUGAUGCAGCCAUGCCGCGUGUAUGAAGAAGGCCUUCGGGUUGUAAAGUACUUUCAGCAGUGAGGAAGGUGGGUAUGUUAAUAGCAUAUUCAUUUGACGUUAGCUGCAGAAGAAGCACCGGCUAACUCCGUGCCAGCAGCCGCGGUAAUACGGAGGGUGCGAGCGUUAAUCGGAAUUACUGGGCGUAAAGCGCAUGCAGGUGGUUUGUUAAGUCAGAUGUGAAAGCCCGGGGCUCAACCUCGGAAUUGCAUUUGAAACUGGCAAACUAGAGUACUGUAGAGGGGGUAGAAUUUCAGGUGUAGCGGUGAAAUGCGUAGAGAUCUGAAGGAAUACCGGUGGCGAAGGCGGCCCCCUGGACAGAUACUGACACUCAGAUGCGAAAGCGUGGGGAGCAAACAGGAUUAGAUACCCUGGUAG
rnacentral:rRNA from 1 species